GUAGGAGUUCACAUUAGUAAGUUACGGGUUUGACUGCCGUUCCAGGGCAGUUUCACCGGUAGAUGGUUGUGAAAACACGUGUUAUGGGUUGACUGGAACGCA